rnacentral:rRNA from 1 species
AUGUUCUCGUCGCAGUCCCUCAGCCGCGUCAACAACAUUCGCACGACGCUGAUCAACGCGCAGAAGGGCAACCAAUCGGUGUCCUCCUUCUUCGCCGCCGUGAGGGGGCUUGCUGAUGAGCUCGCCGCGGCGGGAAAACCAAUCCAAGAUGACGAGCUCAUAUCCUACAUCAUCCACGGGCUGGACCAAGACUAUCAGCCCCUCGUCUCCGCCUUGGACGCCCGCGUCACUCCGGUAAACCUUGAUGAGCUUUUCGCUAUGCUUAGCAACUUUGAUCAGCGCAUGGCGUGGCCGCAGGGCACAGGCAGCCGGGCGGCGUGGCAAGGCGGGGCCAGCAAGCACGGUGCGUGGUGGGCUGCUGGUGCUGCAGGACACGGCGGCGCGCGGGCACAACAACAGAAGGAGCUGCGUCGAGCGCGGCGACCGGCCGCAACUGCUGAUAGCGCCGGCUUGCUUCCUAGCUAG